rnacentral:ncRNA from 1 species
ACGUGGUGAUUUGUGCCGACCGGCUUGCGGCCACGAUAAAGAAACGCUAAAAGGUCGGGGUCGA